rnacentral:tRNA from 1 species
GCGAACGUGGCGGAAUUGGCAGACGCACUGGAUUUAGGUUCCAGCGCCCGCAAGGGCAUGGGAGUUCGACCCUCCCCGUUCGCACCA